GAGCCUGUAUUGGGUUCCAGUAUGAAUGAAGUUAUUGGUUAAUUUAUUUUUUAGUUUUUUUAUUGAAUUUUUUUUUCAAUGAUAAAAAGUUAUUGUUGUAACAAAACAAAGAUAAGUCUUCGGAAAUUUUAUUUUUAGAAUAACAAUGGUUGUUUUAAAAAGUUUUCUAGGGCAGAAUUUUAUAUAAUAAUUUAAAUCUAUUAAUAAUUUUUAAAAUUACUCCGGAGUUAACAGAAAAUCAUACCUAAUCUAGUUCUUAUAGUAAGGUAAGUUUUACAUCGAUGUUGUAUUUAAGUUUAUUAAAAAAGGAGAAAUUUUAAUUUUUAAGACUGUUCUUCUUUUAAUUAACUUAACGUGAUAUUAGUUUAAUUCAUUGUGAGAUAGAAUUGUUUAUCUUGUCUGUUACUGGGUUACAGUUUUAACAGUACGAAAGGAAAAUCAAAAAAAGUU
rnacentral:rRNA from 1 species